CUACGUGCCAGCAGCCGCGGUAAUACGGAAGGUUCGGGCGUUAUCCGGAUUUAUUGGGUUUAAAGGGAGCGUAGGCCGUGGAUUAAGCGUGUUGUGAAAUGUAGAUGCUCAACAUCUGACUUGCAGCGCGAACUGGUUUACUUGAGUGUGCGCAACGUAGGCGGAAUUCGUCGUGUAGCGGUGAAAUGCUUAGAUAUGACGAAGAACUCCGAUUGCGAAGGCAGCUUACGGGAGCACAACUGACGCUGAAGCUCGAAGGUGCGGGUAUCAAACAGGAUUAGAUACCCUGGUAGUCCGCACAGUAAACGAUGGAUGCCCGCUGUUGGCCCAUUAGGGUCAGCGGCCAAGCGAAAGCAUUAAGCAUCCCACCUGGGGAGUACGCCGGCAACGGUGAAACUCAAAGGAAUUGACGGGGGCCCGCACAAGCGGAGGAACAUGUGGUUUAAUUCGAUGAUACGCGAGGAACCUUACCCGGGCUUGAA
rnacentral:rRNA from 1 species